GGGUGCGAUCAUACCAGCGUUAAUGCACCGGAUCCCAUCAUAACUCCGCAGUUAAGCACGCUUGGGCUAGAGUAGUACUGGGAUGGGUGACCUCCCAGGAAGUCCUAGUGUUGCACCCU
rnacentral:rRNA from 1 species